rnacentral:tRNA from 1 species
GGCCCAGUGGUUAGGGCGUUGGGCUAGUGCCCCGAUGGUCGUGGGUUCGAGCCCGG